CCCCUUCUGUUCAGUCGGUAGAGCAUGAGACUCUUUAUCUCAGGGUCGUGGGUUCAUGCCCCACGUUGGGCA
rnacentral:tRNA from 1 species